rnacentral:rRNA from 1 species
AGUUAGUGGCGGACGGGUGAGUAACGCGUGGAUAACCUGCCGUAUACCGGGGGAUAACACUUAGAAAUAGGUGCUAAAACCGCAUAAGCGCACAGCUUCGCAUGAAGCGGUGUGAAAAACUCCGGUGGUGUAAGAUGGACCCGCGUCUGAUUAGCUUGUUGGCGGGGUAACGGCCCACCAAGGCGACGAUCAGUAGCCGGCCUGAGAGGGCGGACGGCCACAUUGGGACUGAGACACGGCCCAGACUCCUACGGGAGGCAGCAG